rnacentral:lncRNA from 1 species
CUGCUGCGGCGGAGAAACGGAGGCCAGCGCGGGGAGCGGAAGCCGGAGCCUGUCGGGAGUAACCCCGGGAAGGCCAGUCCCUCCUGCCGGAGGGAGGCGUGUUGGGUGCGGCCGGUGGCGGGAUCGAUGGCCACCUGGUAGGCGAUGGUAAGCGGCAGUGGCCUGCGCCAAGGUAGCCCCCGGGGGGCGGUGUGUGGCGCCCGGACCCGCACCCUCUGCUCCCGGGGGUGGAGCUGACCUGCUUGCCCGCGGUUGGGCUCGGGAGCCUGCGGGCCGCGGCCAGGAGGGAGCUGGCUGGCCGUCCCGGCGGUGGGGGCUGUGGCGGUGGCCGUCCCGCGGGUGUGCCCGUGCUCGGAUCGAUGAUGACACCCACAAACGCAUUCCUUGGAAAAUCUGAACAAAAUGAGUGAGAACUCACUACCGUCUCCUCAUCGCAAACUGAGGUCCAGCACGUGGCUCCCACAGGGGACGUCGGGGGACGUCCCGUUGCCUUGGCUCCCUUGGCUGCUGCGGCGGAGAAACGGAGGCCAGCGCGGGGAGCGGACGCCGGAGCCUGUCGGGAGCAACCCCGGGAAGGCCAGUCCCUCCUGCCGGAGGGAGGCGUGUUGGCGUGCGGCCGGUGGCGGGAUCGAUGGCCACCUGGUAGGCGAUGCUGCUGCGGCGGAGAAACGGAGGCCAGCGCGGGGAGCGGAAGCCGGAGCCUGUCGGGAGCGACCCCGGGAAGGCCAGUCCCUCCUGCCGGUGGAGGCGUGUUGGCGUGCGGCCGGUGGCGGGAUCGAUGGCCACCUGGUAGGCGAUGGUAAGCGGCAGUGGCCUGCGCCAAGGUAGCCCCCGGGGGGCGGUGUGUGGCGCCCGGACCCGCACCCUCUGCUCCCGGGGGUGGAGCUGACCUGCUUGCCCGCGGUUGGGCUCGGGAGCCUGCGGGCCGCGGCCAGGAGGGAGCUGGCUGGCCGUCCCGGCGGUGGGGGCUGUGGCGGUGGCCGUCCCGCGGGUGUGCCCGUGCUCGGAUCGAUGAUGACACCCACAAACGCAUUCCUUGGAAAAUCUGAACAAAAUGAGUGAGAACUCACUACCGUCUCCUCAUCGCAAACUGAGGUCCGGCACGUGGCUCCCACAGGGGACGUCGGGGGAGGGUCCCGUUGCCUUGGCUCCCUUGGGUGCGUGCAGCCCUGGGGCGCAGGUGGGGGCAGGCAGGCCUCCGGUGGCCCGG